GCUUCAAGCUAAAACUCUUAGACAUUCACUCUAAAUAGACUUCUAUUUUAUAACACUUUUUGAGUAUUAAGAAACUUAUAUGGAAUUCUUAACCAUGUGAGUUUGUUUAUGAUUUAUGCUACGUUGACAAAUCAGAUAAAGUUUAAUUUUUUGAUGGUAUUGUAGGUGAAGCAAAUAAACAAUGGGUUGAUGAAUGCCAUGAAGACCUUAAGAGUAUUGGUUGAUUGUUGCUAGAUCUUCAAAAGUUUAGGGAUAUUUUUUUAGAACUCUUUGCAACAUUAUCUAAGCUAAAGUAGGCUUCAACUGUCUAUUAGUAUUGUACAUUUUAUUCUUAUAAAUGGAUGCUUGUUGAAUUUUUUAUGUGUGUAUCUGUUAUGAUUCAUAUAAAUUGUAGAACGUUAUGAUAUUCUAUAGUAUAGGUAAAUAGUUAUUGCCAUAGCUUCUAAUAACCGUUGCGAUAACCCCAAAAUAACCGUUGUGAUAGCCUCAAAAUAACCGUUGUCAUAGCUCACAAAGCCGUUGCUAUAAGCUCCACGACUGUUGCCAAAGAUGAUAUUGGAACAUUUUUGAACCGUUUCAAUAAACAAGCUAACCGUUGCUAUUGUAUCGUCAAUAGC
rnacentral:lncRNA from 1 species